rnacentral:misc_RNA from 1 species
UUAAUAAAAAUCGGCGUGUUGCUCUUUUGUGACGUUCCGGAGUUUGGGUCAUCUUAUAACAACACCUUUUCAGGGUAUUUUUAAGAGGCUUAAAAUUGACCUUUUUUGUGCAUUUUAGACGUACAUAAACUUUUUUUUAUUCGUUUAUCUUAAUGCCAAAAUCCAUUAGAUGCGACCAUAUCGUGUGGUUCCGUGUCUAUAAAUUUUUCAUG